AUUGAACGCUGGCGGCAGGCCUAACACAUGCAAGUCGAGCGGCAGCAGAGUGCUUGCUCCUGGAUUCAGCGGCGGACGGGUGAGUAAUGCCUAGGAACAUGCCUGGCUGUGGGGGAGAACGUCAGGACACGGGCGCUAAUACGCUAAACGCCCUGAGGGCCUAAGUGGGGAAUCUUCGGACCUCCCGAUCUUGCACGAUCGUAGGUCGGAUUAGCUAGUUGGCGGGGUAAAGGCCUACCAAGGCGACGAUCCGUAGCUGGUCUGAGAGGAUGAUCAGUCACACUGGAACUGAGACACGGUCCAGACUCCUACGGGAGGCAGCAGUGGGGAAUAUUGGACAAUGGGCGAAAGCCUGAUCCAGCCAUACCGCGUGUGUGAAGAAGGUCUUCGGAUUGUAAAGCACUUUAGUUUGGAAAGAAGGGCAGUAAGUUAAUACCUUGCUGUUUUGACGUUACCAACAGAAUAAGCACCGGCUAACUUCGUG
rnacentral:rRNA from 1 species